GCAAAUCUGACACAUUAACCAGUGACCAGACUGCAGUUUGCUAGAUCCUGUGGAAUGACUGUCAGUCUGCUUGGACUGAGAUUGGUAAUGCUCACUAUCGUUAGGAGCAGAAGAGAACAAAAUGUUUUGGUCUGUAUAGUCAUGUGAGGGCCCAGUGUGUUCACCUCCAAGUCUCACAGUAAGAGAUUUCACCUAAAGUAGCUUUGCUUGACAGGGAGUGGACAACUGUGUGCAGCAGUUACAAUGUAUAUGGAAAGGGAAGUAGAUGCCUGCCCUGGGCUCAGCUGGCAUAGGUAUAUAUGCGUGUAGAUAUGCGGGUGGUUUCUUUGCUGGCCACUUCAGCAAGUCGUGUGUUACCUGUGAAUCAAUGUCACAGUGCUCUGCAGAGCUGUGGCAUGGCUGACAAUGCUCUGACGAACGUAGGAUGUCACACAUGAAUUACACUGGCAUUGCAAAAAGUGCAUCCUGAGGUAGUGUGGAGAAACUGGGUUCUGGUGGUUAAAAGGAAUGGAGGAGGUGGGUAAGAGAAAGGAGCUAUGGCUGAAGGGACAAAACUUAAAAGGACUAGGAAGACAGAAAACGGGGGAGGGAGGGACAGAGGUGGAACAAUGUGAACAGAUUGGUGGUAAAGUCUCUGGUGGAUUUGCUACCUGCUGCAGCUUGACUAAAUGGAUUAAUGCUUCAACUUGCCAGCUUUUAAAUCACUUAAAUUUUGAACUUGCGCAAAUAACUUUGCUGAGAAAUGGAACAAAAGUGAGAAAUUGAGAAUAUUUAAGAUGUCACCAUUAAAUCUUUUGUUCCCACUGCUCACAUUUGAAGUUUUCAGUAAUCGUUUGGGUAACUUUCUCAUGUUCCUGCCAGGAGGAGGAACAUAUCACAAGUUUCCAAAUAAUUGUUUUAAAGCAAGUUGUAUCUAGAAAUGCUAUUAAAAUUGAUCUAAAAUCAGAAGUUUAGAUUGCAGUAGCUGGAAGUUUGAAGUCUUGGCAAGCUUAAUGCCCUCUUUUUUUGUGACUGAACACUAGCAUCACCUGCUGGUUCUGCUGGAAACACUGGGCUCUCCAAUUGUCAAAUGCUUGUAUGGAUGUUGCCACAUGAUUAUAGAAAGGGUCUUAAAUCUUUAUCUAAAAGUUGAGAAAAGAAAUGCAAAAAUUACUUUUCCUCAGGCUUGCUAUAAGAAUUGGCCAUACCAGUGCUGGGAUUUUGAUGUUAACUUAGUAAAUUACACUUCUUGAUUUAAACAGGUUCAAGAUGUCUCAAGCUGCAGUAUAAUGUUUAACUUGUUUUAUAGUAACUGCAAGGCAUUCUAGAAACGUGUCUAUUGGGUUUAAAAUUUUUUUGAUGUGUGUAGGUGUCUGGUUUCCAUGUAUCCAUCUGCACUAAAACGUGUUGAAGACUUGUGUAUGUGCACCUAGCAAAGUCUGCUUACUACUUGUGUUCUGCAAGGUACUGCUUUUGACAGUCUGAAAUGAUGAAAGCUGCUACUGUGGAAGAAAAAAAUCCUGAAUUUACUGUGAUGCUGAAACAACUUGUGUCUGUAUGAACACUAAAAUAACACCACUGUCUUCAGUCAGCAGUAAAAACUAAGUACUUUUAAAAAGGCUUAAUUUACCUGAGAAAUCUUUCUUCUUGCUGACAGUGGCUGUCAGCACCUACCCAGUGACAGCAGUUAACUAUAAAUGUAAACCAGUUUUUUGUUUUGGAAAACAGAGAAAAUACUUUAACCACAUUUCCUACAGUUGCUGAUCUUUCUGUUGCAGUCUACACUUGCAGUUAAACUAUACAGUCUAGUGUAUUUCCAAUAAAUGUUAUGUGCAGUAAACCUCA
rnacentral:lncRNA from 14 species